AAAGGUAAGCUACUAAGAGCGAAUGGUGGAUGCCUUGACUGGUAAAGGCGAUGAAGGACGUACUAGACUGCGAUAAGCUACGGGGAGCUGUCAAGAAGCUUUGAUCCGUAGAUUUCCGAAUGGGGCAACCCAAUGUAUAGAGAUAUACAUUACCUAUAUAGGAGCGAACGAGGGGAAUUGAAACAUCUUAGUACCCUCAGGAAAAGAAAUCAAUAGAGAUUGCGUCAGUAGCGGCGAGCGAAAGCGCAAGAGGGCAAACCCAGUGCUUGCACUGGGGGUUGUAGGACUGCAAUGUGCAAGAGGUGAGUUUAGCAGAACAUUCUGGAAAGUAUAGCCAUAGAGGGUGAUAGUCCCGUAUGCGAAAAACAAACCUUAGCUAGCAGUAUCCUGAGUAGGGCGGGACACGAGGAAUCCUGUCUGAAUCCGGGUCGACCACGAUCCAACCCUAAAU
rnacentral:rRNA from 1 species